rnacentral:lncRNA from 1 species
AGUAACUUAAAAGUUUUUAUCCAAACCAAAAUAAUCGAUGGUCUGGUUUUGACAAUCGAUUAUGUUGGUCCAGUAACUUAAAAAUUUUUCUUAAAACCGGCAUAAUCGAUUAUAUGGUUUUGACAAUCGAUUAUGUUGGUCCAGAAACUUAAAAAUUUUUCUUAAAAACCAAAACAAUCGAUUGUCUGAUUUUGACAAUC